CCUACGGGAGGCAGCAGUGGGGAAUAUUGCGCAAUGGGCGAAAGCCUGACGCAGCGACGCCGCGUGAGGGAUGAAGGUCUUCGGAUCGUAAACCUCUGUCAGCAGGGAAGAACGGUCACUGUGCUAAUCAGCAGUGAAUUGACGGUACCUGCAAAGGAAGCACCGGCUAACUCUGUGCCAGCAGCCGCGGUAAUACGGAGGGGGCGAGCGUUAAUCGGAAUUACUGGGCGGAAAGCGCUCGCAGGCGGUAUGUCAAGGCAAGGGUGAAAGCCCCGCGCUCAACGUGGGAACUGCCUUUGAGACUGGCAACCUGGAGUGUGUGAGGGGAUAGUGGAAUUCCAGGUGUAGGAGUGAAAUCCGUAGAUAUCUGGAGGAACAUCAGUGGCGAAGGCGACUAUCUGGCACAUAACUGACGCUGAGGAGCGAAAGCGUGGGUAGCAAACAGGAUUAGAUACCCCUGUAGUC
rnacentral:rRNA from 1 species